CUCAGACGAUGCAUGCGGCGGUCUCAUUCUCAGCGGCGGUAAUUUACAAAUUUUGUCAAGUAAAGAAAAUCCAGAACUACAUGAGAAAACACAGAAUUUUGGCUAAUAAUGUGGCCAUCACAGCAUAGCAAACAGGGAGAAAUUUAAAAGAAAACAAAAAUGGAGCGAUCUAGAUAUCAUGCAGGCCCACUGCAUGAUCUUCAGAGACUUGAAGAUGAUGAGAACACUGAAGACACAAGUUGGGAAAAAUAUAAACUAAAAGAACUUGAGAAAGAAAUACAGAACCUGACAAAUUUGAGAGAUAAACUGACAUGGGAACUGGAGGCAGAUCCUGGAAAGUUACUACAGAGAUUAUUAAAUGGAGACAGAGAGCAGAAUGAAAGAGAGUUGGCAUCUCUAGGUGCACAUCAGGAAGCAUGUAAUGCCAUUACUGCUGCUAAGAAGUCUAAAGUUAUGCAUACUGUCAAUCUAUACAGGCUAUCUGGAACCUCUAUACAUCAAGUUAAAAAGAAUGUUGUCCGUUUGAUGUUUGACACCUUCAACAGAGGAAGUUUCUUUGAGACAUACUACCUUGAACUUGAAGGAUCUAAAAAUCUAAAAGUUGGCAGCCAUACUUUACCUCACUUUAUUCCCAUAAAAAGAAUCGCAGACCAACAUCUGAACGUCAGUUUACAGCUGUUUGCACAGACUCUCAUGAAUCUGCUGAAUGCUUUUGUUGCCCGUAGGCAGUUCAUAAGAGACCUGCAGAAUCACUUCUUAGAUCAUUUGGAGGAGGAAAUUAACUGCAGCCAAUCAUGCGAUUUCUGUUAUCUGUCAUUAAUCGACUUCCCUGGUCUAGAAAUACCUCUAAGAUUACAGUUGAUGUUCUCACUUGAUAAGUGCCACCCUGGACAGAUCAAAGUGAAGAAACUAAGCAAAAAUGACAGGGAUCUUACAGAGACUGAAAACCAGAUUUUAUCAAGUAUUACCAAGUCACUAUUUGCUGCUCAAAUGCCUAAAAUUACACCAGUAAACUAGGUGGAGGAGUACAGUAAUGGGUAUUUGUGGAAGCCAUGUGGUGCAGAGAUUAGUUGGCUGUUAAUAGUAAUUCCACACUGUUCACAUGGCUUGUGUCCUUGUACAAACAAUUUUAAAAUUAAAUAUUAAAUUAAAAAUAAAAUAAAAUUAAAUAAAAAGAAAAAAAAAAAUCAUGUGAAUGAUUUGGAAUGAAAUUAGUAUUGAUGAACUACACGCACAACUUUACUCCCCAGAGAAUGAAGAAGCUUGCACAGGAUAUGUUAUUGAUUGUUUAUCCACUGACCAGGGCAAAAGUGCUUUGAGCUUUAAAUGGAUAUAUGCACUAUAUAAAUUCUAUAAAAUAAAUAAAAUAUAAUAUACAGCUGUAAAUAGUUUUGGUUUGUUUGGUUUUUUGUUUUAGUUUGGUUUUUGGUUUUGGCCUUUUCAAAAACCGAUGAUCAGUCACAACCAUUCUUACCAUCUGGCUUACAUUUCAUAGCUUCCAUAAAUAAGUUUCAUAUACAUGGAUAGUUUCAAUUGUUAAGAACAAUAGUACACUAAAUUGUUAUCAGCCUAGGUUGAAUAACUGUAUAUUUCCACUGUUUAAAUUGGAUUGUUUACUACAGUAUUAAUUUCUUUAAUUAAAUGCUAAACAAGCUCUAAUUUGGGUGGUCAACUUAUAGGUAGAUCAUCAAUGUCUAAAUAUUUGUCUAUAUAUUGUAGUUCUCAUUAUAUGUUAAUAUGCUUAGCUAUUAAUUAGCUUCAUUUCUGUAUAUCAAGUAAGGCUGCUCUGUGAAUGAAUAAAUACAUGCAUUAAUUGUUAUUUUUGAUGGUUUAA
rnacentral:misc_RNA from 1 species